CCGAGGGGCAGGGCCGGGCGGCCUUUGUUACCGGGUAGACGGAUUGCACAUACCUGGAGCCCUGCGGGUGCCCGAUAAGCGCCCUGAAUGGAGGUGAUGUCACGGUGAUGCAGACGCCCGCCCACCCUCGGCACUGAGAAAACAGCCGCGGAGCGCGGGGGGAGAGCUCGGCCGCCAGAGUGAGCGAGGGAGCGCGGCCAGCUCAAGCCCCGGUCCUGGGGAGCUGGCAGGCCCUGCGCCCGAACCCCCGGGCCCCGCCACGCCAGGCCACGGCUGGGCCCCGGACCCGCGCCCUGCACAGAGUCCCUUCCUCCCCGCCCGCGCCCCGCCUGGGGCUGGAGUUGGCCCCAAACGCCGCGCCGGAGCCGAUCGGGCGGCGCGUCCCAGGGACCUAGAGGGAGCCCGGCCUGGGAGCCAGGAUGGCCACCCCCAAAGCCUUGCUGAUGUGCCUGGGACUGCCCGUCUUCCUACUCCCCGGUGCCCAGGCCCAGGACAGUGCCCCGCCUGGCUGCAGUCAAGACCUCAACCCCCUCUACUACAACCUGUGUGACCGCAACGGGGCCUGGGGCAUCGUCAUGGAGGCAGUGGCUGGGGCAGGCAUCGUCACCACUUUUGUCCUCACCAUCAUCCUUGUGGCCAGCCUCCCCUUUGUGCAGGACACCAAGAAGCGGAGCCUGCUGGGGACCCAGGUCUUCUUCCUGCUGGGGACCCUGGGCCUCUUCUGCCUGGUGUUUGCCUGUGUGGUGAAGCCCGACUUCUCCACCUGUGCCUCCCGACGCUUCCUCUUCGGGGUCCUCUUUGCCAUCUGCUUCUCCUGCCUGGUGGCCCACGUCUUUGCCCUCAACUUCCUGGCCCGGAAGAACCAAGGGCCCCGGGGCUGGGUGACCUUCACCGUGGCCUUGCUGCUGAGCCUGGUGGAGGUGAUCAUCAACAUCGAAUGGCUGAUCAUCACGCUGGUCCGCGGAGGCGGCGAGGCGGGGCCCCGGGGCAAUGGCAGUGCCAGCUGGGUGGCGGCCUCUGCCUGUGCCAUCACCAAUGUGGACUUUGUCAUGGCGCUCAUCUACGUCAUGCUGCUGCUGCUGGCGGCCUUCACCGGGGCCUGGCCUGCCCUGUGCGGCCGCUUCAAGCGCUGGCGUAAGCACGGGGUCUUCGUGCUGCUCACCACGGCCACCUCCAUCGCCAUCUGGGUGGUGUGGAUUGUCAUGUAUACCUACGGCAACCAGCAGCACCACAGCCCCACCUGGGACGACCCCACGCUGGCCAUCGCCCUCGCCGCCAACGCCUGGGCCUUCGUCCUCUUCUACGUCAUCCCCGAGAUCUCCCACGUGACCAAGCCCAGCCCGGAGCAGAGCUACCAGGGGGACAUGUACCCCACCCGGGGCGUGGGCUACGAGACGAUCCUGAAAGAGCAGAAGGGCCAGAGCAUGUUUGUGGAGAACAAGGCUUUUUCCAUGGACGAGCCAGGCUCAGCGAAGCGACCGGUGUCUCCAUACAGUGGGUACAAUGGGCAGCUGCUGACGAGUGUGUACCAGCCCACCGAGAUGGCCCUGAUGCACAAGGUCCCGUCUGAAGGCGCUUACGAUGUCAUCCUCCCGCGGGCCACCGCCAACAGCCAGGUGAUGGGCAGUGCCAACUCCACCCUGCGGGCCGAGGACAUGUAUGCUGCCCAGAGCCACCCCACGGCCACCCCAACCCAAGACGGCAAGAGCUCACAGGCUCAGUCCCCACAAAAUAAAACAAGAUGGUAGACGUCCUCCUUCCCUGGACUGCACGUCGUCCCGAUGUCCUCAUGGCUCUGUGCCCAGGACCCCUGAUGGACCGUCCUGGCCUGGCCAUCUUUUGGUGUUUCCGGCAUCAGCUUCUCCCACUGCACCGUGGUGGAUCUCUGUGAGUUUUCGGAGCUAAGCCAUGGUGGAGAGUUGCCCUGGCCCUCCUCCCCUGGACCGUGGAAGGACACUGAGCUGGGAGCAGAGCUCGGCCGAGACCUGGACAGACAGCUUCUCUUCGUGGCCUGUGGGUCCCAGAUCUGAGCCCUUUUGGAGCUUCACCCAUGUGCCCCUUUGUGCCCGGUCCUGCUGCCUCUGAUGAACCAGGCUCCACCAACAGCCAGGGCCAACCCUGCCUGCCCCUCCCCAUCUGGGGUGGGGUCCGCCACACUGCUUCCAGCCAGAGAAGCUCUUUGUCCAGCAUUUCCUUACGGGGAACCCCACAAAGGAAUCUGUGGCGUUUGCAGACCUCAGUGGCAUCUGGGGCUCUGGGCACCUGCAGAUGCCCAUCACGUUCUCCCUGUGCUCUCCUCCUCCUUGGACUUUCCAGCCAGUUGGGAAAGUGGCUCCUGGGGCAGGGGCAGAUGUUAGAGCCCUGGUGCUACCUGGAUCUAACGUCUUCAGGAAGGGCAGUGGGGCCUGCAGUGGCUAAAUGAGUGACGUCUCGGGGCUGGAGUCUCGGGCCAGCUGAGAGUCCUGGACCAGAUGUGGGGGCAGAUCUAGACCUCUCUGGGACUUAGGCUUGUGGGACUUGGGGAGGCCCCAUAGACAAGAACGUUCUAGGACUCAAGAUUGUGCUGUUUCUGGAUGGGGAGGUGUGUACAUUUCUUCCUUGCCUAGGGCAGCUGGUAAUUACGGGGUACCUUGAUUGUCUCUCAUUGGAGAAGACUCAUGUCCUUGGCCUCAGGACAUGCUCUAGAGUCCCACAGCCCCCCAGGGAGAGCCUGUGUGAUACUGGCCACCAAGGAUAGAGCCAUGCACAGCUCCAGACUCUGGGAAGGAGGUCCCUGUAGCAUCCUCUUCCUCUGUCCUGGCUCCUGUGCCCUUGGAGCUCAGUCCCCAGCCCAGCAUCACCUUUGGGUGCUGAGAUGGAUGUGAGGACAAGAACAGCUCCCCAGGGAGGUGAAUUGGGUGAGGCUAUGCCCAAGCUCACCCCGUAGCCAGCCCCACGACUCUCCUGUCCCUGGCAGCCCGUGCCUUUGUCAUGAAUAUUUUUCCAGAGCUCAGGUUGGUGAACCGGGUCCUGCGGAGAGCUGGGACAGACAUCUCCCCUCAUUCCUGCUCAAUUCCAGGAAGAGAAACCCAAGUAUUAUUUCCCCCUAACAGAAGGGAAGGGGAGAGCCCUGGGCACUCAAACUUCUCUUGAUCUAGUUUAGUGGCCCCAAGAUGACUUACAAUGAGUAAGGGCACCGUCUCUUCUGGGUGAUAAUCUCACGUGAGUCCCUGGCAGGGCCGAAGGGAUGCAGCCUGCGGUGAGCGUGGGCUUGUUUCUAGCCUGAGCCUUCUGAGGAUGUCUGUGUGUGAGGCUCGGGGAGGAACGGGCUCCCAAAAGACGCAGGCGUGUCCUGGAUUCAGGAGACCCUGUGGCCCUGUUUGCCAAAGGUCCUUGGCCAAGUGGAGAAGACAGAUGUUUUUAGGAGCAAAGAGGUGCCUUCUGUGUGAUGGUCCAGUCAUAUCACUAAUAAGCCUUAAGUGGAAGACGAAUUUAUAGUAGAUCAGAACCUGUUACAGGUGGCAGCAGACAACACGUUGGUAAAAUUCACGUCCACGUCUAUCAAACCAUGUAGCGCACAGCAGAAUAAUUUGGAAUGCACCAUAACUGCUCAGAAUUAAACAGCUUUAUCCUCUAUUUGGGAGGAAUUUCUGCUACUAAA